UACGUAGGGUGCGAGCGUUAAUCGGAAUUACUGGGCGUAAAGAGCGCGCAGGCGGUCGUACAAGUCGCGUGUGAAAGCCCCCGGCUCAACUGGGGAGGGUCACGCGAUACUGUUCGACUCGAAGGCAGGAGAGGGAAGUGGAAUUCCCGGUGUAGUGGUGAAAUGCGUAGAUAUCGGGAGGAACACCAGUGGCGAAGGCGACUUCCUGGCCUGUUCUUGACGCUGAGGCGCGAAAGCUAGGGUAGCAAACGGG
rnacentral:rRNA from 1 species